rnacentral:rRNA from 1 species
UGGGGAAUAUUGCGCAAUGGGCGAAAGCCUGACGCAGCGACGCCGCGUGAGGGAUGAAGGCCUUCGGGUUGUAAACCUCUUCAGCAGGGAAGAAGCGAAAGUGACGGUACCUGCAGAAGAAGCACCGGCUAACUACGUGCCAGCAGCCGCGGUAAUACGUAGGGUGCAAGCGUUGUCCGGAAUUAUUGGGCGUAAAGAGCUCGUAGGCGGUUUGUCGCGUCUGCUGUGAAAACCCAGGGCUUAACCCUGGGCCUGCAGUGGGUACGGGCAAACUAGAGUGCGGUAGGGGAGAUCGGAAUUCCUGGUGUAGCGGUGAAAUGCGCAGAUAUCAGGAGGAACACCGGUGGCGAAGGCGGAUCUCUGGGCCGUAACUGACGCUGAGGAGCGAAAGCAUGGGUAGCGAACAGGAUUAGAUACC